CUCCACUCGCAGGUUCCGCCAUGCGCAAAAGGCCCCACCCGCUGGCGGCCACAGACCAAUCGCGUGCCGGAGGCGGGUUCUAGGCCUAUAUAAAGGAGUUCCGCGCUCCUGCGUGUCUUUCGAAAGGUGGCUUUCGCGUCUGUGCAUGACGGCCCCGAAUAGUAGUUACGUUGCCUUUGCUAUUUCUGGUUGAACCAAUAAAGUCUGAACACUAAGA